ACGGGAGGCAGCAGUGGGGGAUGUUGCGCAAUGGGGGAAACCCUGAUGCAGCGACGCCGCGUGAGUGAAGAAGUAUUUCGGUAUGUAAAGCUCUAUCAGCAGGAAAGAUAAUGACGGUACCUGACUAAGAAGCACCGGCUAAAUACGUGCCAGCAGCCGCGGUAAUACGUAUGGUGCAAGCGUUAUCCGGAUUUACUGGGUGUAAAGGGAGCGCAGACGGCAUGGCAAGCCAGAUGUGAAAGGCAGGGGCUCAACUCCUGGACUGCAUUUGGAACUGCCAAGCUAGAGUAGCGGAGAGGUAAGUGGAAUUCCUAGUGUAGCGGUGAAAUGCGUAGAUAUUAGGAGGAACACCAGUGGCGAAGGCGGCUUACUGGACGAUAACUGACGUUGAGGCUCGAAAGCGUGGGGAGCAAACAGGAUUAGAUACCCUGGUA
rnacentral:rRNA from 1 species